UGGGGAAUUUUGGACAAUGGGCGAAAGCCUGAUCCAGCAAUGCCGCGUGUGUGAAGAAGGCCUUCGGGUUGUAAAGCACUUUUGUCCGGGAAAGAAAUCCUUGGCUCUAAUACAGUCGGGGGAUGACGGUACCGGAAGAAUAAGCACCGGCUAACUACGUGCCAGCAGCCGCGGUAAUACGUAGGGUGCAAGCGUUAAUCGGAAUUACUGGGCGUAAAGCGUGCGCAGGCGGUUUGCUAAGACCGAUGUGAAAUCCCCGGGCUCAACCUGGGAACUGCAUUGGUGACUGGCAGGCUAGAGUAUGGCAGAGGGGGGUAGAAUUCCACGUGUAGCAGUGAAAUGCGUAGAGAUGUGGAGGAAUACCGAUGGCGAAGGCAGCCCCCUGGGCCAAUACUGACGCUCAUGCACGAAAGCGUGGGGAGCAAACAGGAUUAGAUACCCUGGUAGUCCACGCCCUAAACGAUGUCAACUAGUUGUUGGGGAUUCAUUUCCUUAGUAACGUAGCUAACGCGUGAAGUUGACCGCCUGGGGAGUACGGUCGCAAGAUUAAAACUCAAAGGAAUUGACGGGGUCAAGCUGUUUCCU
rnacentral:rRNA from 1 species